rnacentral:rRNA from 1 species
UACGUAGGGGCAAGCGUUGUCCGGAUUUAUUGGGCGUAAAGAGCGUGUAGGCGGCUUGGUAGGUCCGCUGUGAAAACUCGAGGCUCAACCUCGAGAUGUCGGCGGAAACCACUUGGCUAGAGUCCGGAAGAGGAGAGUGGAAUUCCCGGUGUAGCGGUGAAAUGCGCAGAUAUCGGGAAGAACACCUAUGGCGAAGGCAGCUCUCUGGGACGGUACUGACGCUGAGACGCGAAAGCGUGGGGAGCGAACAGG